UACGUAGGGUCCGAGCGUUGUCCGGAAUUAUUGGGCGUAAAGGGCUCGUAGGCGGUCUGUUGCGUCGGGAGUGAAAACUCAGGGCUUGACCCUGAGCCUGCUUCCGAUACGGGCAGACUAGAGUGAUGUAGGGGAGACUGGAAUUCCUGGUGUAGCGGUGAAAUGCGUAGAGAUGUGGAGGAACACCGGUGGCGAAGGCGGGUCCCUGGGCCGAUACUGACGCUGAGGCGCGAAAGCGUGGGGAGCAAACAGG
rnacentral:rRNA from 1 species